AACAAACAGUAAUUACAUUCAGGUAUCAUUAGGGGCCUGCUUUGAAUCCACAACCACAAAAGCGUCUCCCUCUCUCUCUCUAGCUAAAGCUGGAAACUCCAUCCUUGAGGCAUUUGUGUAAGGACUGUGACAAAUGUAGUGUGCCUGAAGACCCCCGCCCCCCUUUGGCAAACAACUGCAUGUUAAAAAAAAAACACAGUAAAGGAUACAGUUUGAACUUUAACUCUCUUUCCUGACUUGUGUUGCUUUCAGAGCAAAUUGCUCCUCCUCCUGGGCUUCAGUUAAUCCGAUGCCUUGAGAGCCUGCUAAGAAGGAGAUAAUGAUGAGUAUCUUCUCAACAAACAGACCCUUAAUUCCCCAGCUUUAAGGUCUACAAGGAUCCGCUCUCCCAGGUGCUAGCAGUUCAAAGCACAGGCUUAGUCCAUGGUAUCUGCAAGGCUCUCCUCCAACACUACAUUUCAAAUGGACUUAGACCAGAGAAUCCUUCAAACAGAGAGGACUGUUCUCUGUAAAGUAGGACAUGGACACCUUCUCCUCCUCUGCAUCUCUUCGAUUUUUCCACUUAUAAAACAGCAGUCAUUUAGCUCAUCUAUUCACUGGAGCUAAUUUCUGGCCCAGAAAGUGAAUCAUUUGGGUGCAAUUAGAAUCAAAACACAAAGGUAACGGUCCACCCACACAGGAACCAGUUACUUCAACACGCAGGUGACUUCAUUUCUGCUCCAGCAAUAACUGCAUCAGCACCAGGAGCAGACAGCAGAGCUGAACAGUAGGACUGAAAGGGAGCGAUAUGAUAUCGCCUGCACUGGUGCCUGAAGCAUUGCGCUUAAUCCCACGUUCCUUUCAUUGUACAGCCAAGCAUAGAUCAAGCCAUUAAGCCAGUUGUGCCAUCAGAGCAGGACUUGUGGGGCAGAGGUCUAGGGCUCCCCUCAGCAGAAUGAGCAGGAGGGUCCCCAAAUUCAGUAAGGAUUGGGCUUGCUGUGUUUUGAAGUCAGUGAAGUAAUGUGCAUUACUAUUUAAAGAGGAUAGUCUUUAUGAGAGCAUUAAUUUCAGAGUCUAAAAUGACUUAACUGUAUCACCACUGCAUGAAACUGAGAGCUGACAGAUUUGCAUCAUUCAUGUGGAUGUCAUCCCCGAUGGUGGAUUUGAUUUAGUGCGUCCCAGACCUCCCCUCUCCAAUGACCUGGAGAUGAUUAGGCAAGGUGAGGUGACUCAUCUGAGGCUUCUGUCUGGUUACCGUUAAUCAGCACCAAAUUGCCAGAGGUUUAGUUUAUUACUACACUUUUACAUGAAGGAUUGAGAUCUGGAUUUUCUAGGUCAGGGUUUUCUCUGCCUCCUCUCCAUCCCCAAAUCCUAGAAAGAUAAAGAGCAAUACAUUGUGUGCCUUUUUCUAUUGAACGGUCAUUGCGAGCUCAGGCUGAGAAAAGCCUUCUGUUUGCCAUCAUUACCCAACAGUAUACAUAAUGAAACCGUACCUGUAAGAAAGACAAAAGCAAGGGCAUAGGUCUAGGGGUAUUACAAAACCAUGGGACUUCUGAAACAAAUCACAAAGGGAGCACUUAAAAAGAAUGGCCCAGGUGCCUGAUGUGAACAAGCCACAGCAAGUAUUCAGCUCGCAUGCUUCCUCCUCUCCACUCUUCCUCCAGUGCAGCUACACAGAGUUCAGAAGCUUUUGCUUGGUACCACAGCUUGUCUUUCCAUUGGACAAACUGUGGUUGACGUUAACCAUGAUUUGGUUCAAACAAACUGACUUUAUACCAUGGUUUACGCUGGCAAGUUUAAGCAAACCCUAGUUAGCACACAGUUUAGGCUUGGGACAGAACAUUAAACCAGGGAUGCCAUCUUCCAGAUGUUGCUGGACAGCAAGUCCCAGUGCAGCUCACAUGAGAGCAAAGCAAAGAUGUCCCCUCCUGCAAGCUUAAAAUCAAAAAGACACAACACAAAAGAAAAAGGAGAUGAGGAGGGAAGAGGGGGAAAGAUAAAUAUGGUCACCAGAUGGAAUGGCUGUUCAAUUUCCUGACUAGGAAUGGCUAGAGCUGAUGGGAGUUGAUGCCCAACAACAUCUGGAGGACCGCAGGUUCCCCAGCCCUGCACUAAGAUGAAUGGAAGUCAAUUCCUCCUGGCAGCUACACCAGAGAGGGGGAGGGGAAGCACACCAACCUGAGACUUGCACAGGCUCAUCCUCAUAAUGCAGCCAAUGUACCUGCAUGGAAAUUAAAAAGUGUUGCAAGAUAAGUAGAACCAAAGAGGCAGCAGAGAAGGAGACAGUUUAGGAAGCCUAGGAGCCUCAACUGACACAUGCUUGGGAUCAAGCCAAAUGAGAAGUUGAUGACAGUGGCUGGAUCUCCCCAUCCCAUUUUUAAAAGCAGCUGAGGAGGGGAUGAUUUGAAUGAGGACUGUGGCUCUUGACGGGAGUUUCAACCCUUUCUCCAUGUGCCAUUUCCCCAGUGUAAAUGCUGUCCCCAAACUUGCUAGCAAGCUUCUACCAGCUUUCCCAAAUGGGAUUAA